rnacentral:rRNA from 1 species
UACGUAGGGGGCAAGCGUUGUCCGGAAUCAUUGGGCGUAAAGCGCGUGUAGGCGGCUCGAUAAGUCUGCUGUGAAAGUCCAGGGCUCAACCCUGGGAUGCCGGUGGAUACUGGCGAGCUCGAGUCCGGAAGAGGCGAGUGGAAUUCCUGGUGUAGCGGUGAAAUGCGCAGAUAUCAGGAGGAACACCAAUGGCGAAGGCAGCUCGCUGGGACGUGACUGACGCUGAGACGCGAAAGCGUGGGGAGCAAACAGG